CCGGUAAAACAGUUCAGCUAGAACCCGGAAGGAAAGUGUGGGUUGUCCUGGGGAGCUACUGAGGUUAGAGAAGUGUCUCUGGGGCGAGUAAAGGAAUCUCUUCUGAAAACAUCUCAGGUGGCAAAGUUGUACUUUCCUUAUUUUUAACUCCUUCAAAAGUGAAAGUAAAGUGGAAUUCUGCAUAUUCCGCUUUAGGAUGGCAGUUUAAGAAUUAUUAGUAGCUGGGUGAGUGCGCACAGUCGCAGCCGCUGACGUACUUGAUAGUUUCAGGCCAGCAUGGGAAAGUAUGCACCAACUGUAAAUAGGAUUCACUGCUGGUCUGCUUCAGAGGAUUUCCUACUCUCGAAGGUGCUGAAGAAGAACCACUUAUAUUAGCCAGAAGAACAUAGAAGAAAAGAGGAAACCCUCUUCUUCCCAGGUGGCUCAGUGAAAGAAUCCGAAGAUGCACUCCGGAAAAACAAACAAACAAAAAAAUCUAAAAAGAAACUCAGCAGAAGAAAACAAAGAACAGCCCUGAUAUGCGUGAAAAUGAAAAUUCUCACUACUGAUGUGAGAAUCAGUGUACUUUUUGAUGAGCUAAAAAUGACUAUCACAAAGAUGGAUG
ensembl:lncRNA